GCCAGGAAGAGGAAUAGAGACUCUAAGAGCAUUAGGAAUGGGAACAUGAAGGAAAACCAAAUUAAGCUCUAAGCCUCUAACUAAUGAAGUUGGAGAUUUGGUUUGAUGAUUUUCCUGAUGCCUCCCAUUCCUAUAGUUCUUAUAGUUCUUAGGUGCUCUUACUUUCGGCU
rnacentral:pre_miRNA from 1 species